CAAAAAUAAGUCUUGUGAUAACAUCUAUUGUAAAACACAAAUUCCAUCAUAUGCUGUGUCUUAUAUCUUGUCUGUCAAUAUAACUGCAAUCUGAAUCAAAGCACUUCUUCAACAUAGCGGGCAGUGUUUCCAGACUACACCAUGAUGGUUUGGCUGCAAGAGGUUGUCAUGAGGCAGCACUUGGGCACUCGUUAUGAUAGUCUGUGUCUGCGUACAAGCAUAGAGCAAGACCAGGAGAGCACAUUGCGCAGUGAUGCAGGGACCGGACUGUGCCCGCCACACUGCCCGCUUGCUCCUUCCUACACGAGGCUGCAGAUUCUUCAGUUCAUGCAUCACUCCUGGCUUAGCCAGACGUUCCCUCAGACAGCGGGCUGCAUAAUGCAGUGCUGUUUGGCUGCUGAGGCUCUGGGGCCUAGCUGUCAGCUGGCUUGUGCUAUAACGGGACAACAGCUAACUCAAAGAGGAUGCAGGAAAUAAAGGAAACGUAUGCAUUUUUAAGGAUAUGGAUGACGGGGGAGGAAUCACUGAUAUGCUUGUGAACUUUAGUGAUAUAUUUAGAAGCUUGGAACAAAACUGCUGUUUCACUGAAGUCAAUAAAAAUACUGCCAUUGAAUUCA
rnacentral:lncRNA from 1 species